rnacentral:rRNA from 1 species
ACUAUAGCAACACACCUAGAAAACACUAUACUUUUUCACGUUAACCUUACACAAGUAAAUUUCUGGAAAGAUUAAAAGAAAGAGAAGGAACUCGGCAAAUCUUAACCCCGCCUGUUUACCAAAAACAUCGCCUCUUGAUAAAACAUAAGAGGUCCAGCCUGCCCAGUGAUAUUCUUAAACGGCCGCGGUACCCUGACCGUGCAAAGGUAGCAUAAUCAUUUGUUCUUUAAAUAAGGACUCGUAUCAACGGCAUCACGAGGGUUAUACUGUCUCCUCUUUCCAAUCAGUGAAACUGACCUCCCCGUGAAGAGGCGGGGAUGAAAAUACAAGACGAGAAGACCCCAUGGAGCUUUAAACCCAAUAACAACUCUUUCUAGAUAAACUUUAAAAACACAGAUGUACUGUUUAUUGGUUUUAGGUUGGGGUGACCACGGAGUAAAAAUUAACCUCCCUGAUGGACAGAUUUCAUCUUUAUCCAAGAGCUACUGCUCAAAGAAUCAAAAAUUUGACAUUACAUGAUCCGGCAACCGAUCAACGAACCAAGUUACCCUGGGGAUAACAGCGCAAUCCAUUUU